rnacentral:rRNA from 1 species
UACGGAGGGUGCAAGCGUUACUCGGAUUUACUGGGCGUAAAGCGCAUGUAGGCGGUUGGAUAAGUUUGGUGUGAAAGCCCGAAGCUCAACUUCGGAAGUGCAUUGAAUACUGUCUGACUAGAAUUCAGGAGAGGAGAGUGGAAUUCCUGGUGUAGAGGUGAAAUUCGUAGAUAUCAGGAGGAACACCAGUGGCGAAGGCGGCUCUCUGGACUGACAUUGACGCUGAGAUGCGAAAGCGUGGGUAGCAAACAGG